GACGAACGCUGGCGGCGUGCCUAAUACAUGCAAGUAGAACGCACAGUUUAUACCGUAGCUUGCUACACCAUAGACUGUGAGUUGCGAACGGGUGAGUAACGCGUAGGUAACCUGCCUGGUAGUGGGGGAUAACUAUUGGAAACGAUAGCUAAUACCGCAUAAUAUUAAUUAUUGCAUGAUAAUUAAUUGAAAGGUGCAAUUGCACCACUACCAGAUGGACCUGCGUUGUAUUAGCUAGUAGGUGAGGUAACGGCUCACCUAGGCGACGAUACAUAGCCGACCUGAGAGGGUGAUCGGCCACACUGGGACUGAGACACGGCCCAGACUCCUACGGGAGGCAGCAGUAGGGAAUCUUCGGCAAUGGACGAAAGUCUGACCGAGCAACGCCGCGUGAGUGAAGAAGGUUUUCGGAUCGUAAAGCUCUGUUGUAAGAGAAGAACGGGUGUGAGAGUGGAAAGUUCACACUGUGACGGUAUCUUACCAGAAAGGGACGGCUAACUACGUG
rnacentral:rRNA from 1 species